rnacentral:rRNA from 1 species
AUUGAACGCUGGCGGCAGGCUUAUCACAUGCAAGUCGAGCGGGGAGAGGUGCUUCGGUACUGAUCCUAGCGGCGGACGGGUGAGUAAUGCUUAGGAAUCUGCCAUUUAGUGGGGGACAACAUUCCGAAAGGAAUGCUAAUACCGCAUACGUCCUACGGGAGAAAGCAGGGGAUCUUCGGACCUUGCGCUAAAUGAUGAGCCUAAGUCGGAUUAGCUAGUUGGUGGGGUAAAGGCCUACCAAGGCGACGAUCUGUAGCGGGUCUGAGAGGAUGAUCCGCCACACUGGGACGGAGACACGGCCCAGACUCCUACGGGAGGCAGCAGUGGGGAAUAUUGGACAAUGGGCGGAAGCCUGAUCCAGCCAUGCCGCGUGUGUGAAGAAGGCCUUUUGGUUGUAAAGCACUUUAAGCGAGGAGGAGGCUACCUGGAUUAAUACUCUGGGAUAGUGGACGUUACUCGCAGAAUAAGCACCGGCUAACUCUGUGCCAGCAGCCGCCGCGGUAA